rnacentral:rRNA from 1 species
CCUACGGGAGGCAGCAGUGGGGAAUAUUGGGCAAUGGGCGCAAGCCUGACCCAGCAACGCCGCGUGAAGGAAGAAGGCUUUCGGGUUGUAAACUUCUUUUCGCAGGGAAGAAGCAAGUGACGGUACCGGAGGAAUAAGCCACGGCUAACUACGGGCCAGCAGCCGCGGUAAGACGGAGGAGGCAAGCGUUAUCCGGAUUUACGGGGUGUAAAGGGCGGGGAGGCGGGAAAGCAAGUCAGAUGUGAAAACCAUGGGCUCAACCUGUGGCCUGCAUUUGAAACGGUUUUUCUUGAGUACUGGCGAGGCCGCCGGAAUUCCUCUUGUAGCGGUUACAUGCUUAGAUAUUAGGAG